UAAUUGAAGAGUUUGAUCAUGGCUCAGAUUGAACGCUGGCGGCAGGCUUAACACAUGCAAGUCGAGCGGUAGCACAAGGGAGCUUGCUCCCUGGGUGACGAGCGGCGGACGGGUGAGUAAUGUCUGGGAAACUGCCUGAUGGAGGGGGAUAACUACUGGAAACGGUAGCUAAUACCGCAUAACGUCGCAAGACCAAAGAGGGGGACCUUCGGGCCUC
rnacentral:rRNA from 1 species